rnacentral:rRNA from 1 species
UACCAAGAAAUUUAGUCAUACAAAUUAUGGUGAAAAGACAGUUAAGUGCCGGGGUGAGAGGUUGUCUAAUGCAAGUAUAUAGAAGUAAAAUUUAAGUGUAGUUGUAUAAAUCGAAGGUAACUUAAAAGCUGAAUCUGUGAAAUCCUUGAGGGAAACUGGGAUUAGGUACCCCAUUAUUCUUGGAUGUAAAAAGGAAGUGGUUUUACCAGAGUACUAUGAACGUUGUAAAUUUAAAACUCAAAGAACUUGGCGGUGUUUUAGACCAUUUAGGGGAACCUGUCUCGUAAUCGAUAAUCCACGUUGUACCUGACCUUUUUUUGUUUUCAGUUUGUAUACCGUUGUCGUCAGGUAACUUUUUAGAAGAUAGAAGUUGGCCGGAAAAAUAAUUGAUUUAAUACGUCAAAUCAAGGUGCAGCUAAUAAGAAGGGGAGGAUGGGUUACAGUUAUAUAGUUAUAAUUACGGAUAAUUAUAUGUAAGUAUAAAUUAUGAAGGCGGACUUAAAAGUAAAUUAAAUUAUGAAAAUGACUUGAAUAAGGCUCUGAAACGUGU